rnacentral:tRNA from 1 species
ACAAGAUGCCUGAUUAAAGGAUUAUUUUGAUAGAAUAAAUUAUGUAAAUAUUUUUUUACUCUUGUUA